rnacentral:rRNA from 1 species
AUGGACGAAAGUCUGACGGAGCAACGCCGCGUGAGUGAUGAAGGUUUUCGGAUCGUAAAACUCUGUUGUUAGGGAAGAACAAGUACCGUUCGAAUAGGGCGGUACCUUGACGGUACCUAACCAGAAAGCCACGGCUAACUACGUGCCAGCAGCCGCGGUAAUACGUAGGUGGCAAGCGUUGUCCGGAAUCAUUGGGCGUAAAGCGCGCGCAGGUGGUUCCUUAAGUCUGAUGUGAAAGCCCCCGGCUCAACCGGGGAGGGUCAUUGGAAACUGGGGAACUUGAGUGCAGAAGAGGAAAGUGGAAUUCCACGUGUAGCGGUGAAAUGCGUAGAGAUGUGGAGGAACACCAGUGGCGAAGGCGACUUUCUGGACUGUAACUGACGCUGAGGCGCGAAAGCGUGGGGAGCAAACAGGAUUAAAUACCCUGGUAGUCCACGCCGUAAACGAUGAGUGCUAGGUGUAGAGGGUAUCGACCCCUUCUGUGCCGCAGUUAACACACUAAGCACUCCGCCUGGGGAGUACG